rnacentral:ncRNA from 1 species
UGUAAGGACGCUUACGUCGGGAGUGACUGAAUAAACUUACUGGCAUCUAGCUGGUUAAGGUGAUGAGACACAGGUGGUGCUGCUGCGAAAGCAGAAUCGACUUACCAGUCGGGUCUCAGGCAGAGGUGUUUUUCUAAACUGUAGAAAUGCCCGCCUCUUGUUGGUAUACAGGAAUCCAACCUCCCUCUUU